rnacentral:lncRNA from 1 species
GUGUUCUGAAAGAUAGCUGAGCUUACAGUUCGGGUGGAACAAGAGUGAGCACAGAGGGGUACGGGGCCCAGCUGUGGCUCUAGAGACAAAGCAUACAGACUCUAGAGGCUUCUUUAGGGACUAAAGCGGAGCAGCUUCUUGUGGGAGCUGCUCAACUGCCAUCCGGCCUCCUGAGAGUGCAGCCUCCGGGAAGCGCAGAGCCGGUCUGGCCUGUGGGCAGCUGUGCGCACUAACAGCAGCACUAACGUGGCUCAGCACGGGUAUUCGUUUGGAUGGGCAGGAAUAAAAUCUGUGAGAAUCCUGAUGAAGUGUGAGCAACAGAUUAUCUACACAGAGCGAUUUGUGGAUAAGGUGAAAGUAUUUCUAGAGUCUCUGCAGUACUCCUCAAUCUGAGCUCCCGGGGAGCCCCUCCUUCGCCAUUCUGUAGUGUGGACUCCCAUUCCAAUGGACAGAGAGCCAGACUUCACACGUUGGGAAAGUAUGGACACCACCGAGCAUAGCCCCCAGG